rnacentral:piRNA from 1 species
UGCUGACAAUGGUUACAAUUGGGUGG